UAUAAGAUUCUAUGGUAAUCUCAGGUCAAAGGAUUAUAUGCACAACUCCCACUAUAAGAAAACAUCUUUUGACAGGUAAGUAAAUUUCAUAAGAUGUUUUUUAAGUCAGAUCAAUUCAGUGAACUCAUUCUUUUAUAAGCACCCACUUCCUUGUAUUAGUGUCUCACACAAAUGACUUAUGAGAUCAGCCACCCACUCCAUCGAGUAUGUAUAGAAAGUACUAGUCUAUCCAGAAUAUUGAUCCCCUACUCAAUGCUCCUAUGACUAGAAAUAUUUUAAAUCAAAAUUUUUAAGAUUUUAGAUCUCAUAGGUAUGAUCUCAUCAUAAUCCUAAAUUUAUUACCCUGA
rnacentral:lncRNA from 1 species